GUUAUCAACGCCUGAGACGGAAAGAGGACACAGAGAGAACGAGUGAGACUGAGAGGUCAACAAGCUGCUCAAUGAAUUCAAGAACAAUCUUCAGACCCUCAGCGGUGGUCUGCUCCAUCCUGCCCGGCCUGCAGCCAAUCAGAGAACAGGACUGAUGUCAUCAGCUUGGUGAAGGCGACCACGGCUCUGUUGGAUUCCCAGAUGAUCUCCAGACUGAAGCCGCUCUCGUCCGACCCUGAGACGUUCUCCACCAGCAUCAUCAGCAGAUCCCUGCACAUGUUGUCC